AUUUGUAAUGGCAAAACUUUGGAAACAUUUUAAAUAUUCAUCAGUAAAAGAAUACAUAAAUCAAUUGUGUUUUAUUAAUAUAAUGGGAUGUUAAAUAGCAGUUAAGAUGAAUGAAGCGAAGCUGUAAGUACAGGUUUAGAAAAUGUUGAGUGAAAAAACCAAGUCACAGAACCAUAAGUCUAUUCAUAUAAAUUGUCUUAUUCAUUUGGCUGUUCCAACAAAGUACCAUAAACUGGAUGGCUUAUAAACAACAGAAAUUUAUUUCUCACAAUUCUGAAGGCUUGGAAGUCUAAGAUCAGGGCACCAGCAGAGUCAGGGUCUGGUGAAGGUCCUCUUCCAGGUUGCAGACUGCUGCUGACUUCUAAUUGGAUCAUGACACGGCAGAAGGAGAGCUAGCAGUUCUUGGACCUCUUCUUAUAAAAGGCACUAAUUUCAAUCAUGAGGCUCCACCCUUAUGACCUGAUCACCUCCCACAGGCCCCACCUUCAAAUAUUAUCCCACCGGGAUUAGGAUUUCAACAUAUGCAUUUUAGGGUGGACACUUUCAGUCCAUUGCAUAAAUUUGGGCACAGAGAAAGACAUGAAUAGAAGGAUAACAACGUGGAGAGACAUAGGGAGAAGAUGGCCAUUAACAAAGCCAAGGGGGAGAGGCCUGGAACAGACUCCCCCUCACAGCCCUUAAAAGGAACCAACUUUUAAGACACCUUGAUAUCAGACUUCUAGCCUCCAGAACUGAGAGGUGAAAUUUUUAUUAAGUCAUCCAGCUUAUAGUACUUUAUUAUUACAGCCCUAGCAAACUAAUACAACAUUUAUAACUUGGCAAUUUUGUUAUUUUUUUAAAAAGUAUGUUUUCAACCAGAGGGAAAAAACCCUUCUUCCCUCAAAAAUGUAAAAUGAGGAACUAGAAGGGGUGAAGCUGAUCUGCUAUUUAAUAGAAUAUCUUUAUAUAUUUUAAUAGUAAAGUUAAAAUUUUGAUCUGUUAUCAAAGAGGUUUUUGUUUAAUAAACCUGGUGGGUCAGUCUCAUGGAGCAAGGGAAAACAAUUCCCAUGUGCUCAGAAGAGCAUUUUGUAAUUUCCUAAUUAGGGAUAAGAAAGACAAUUCCCAAGUUUCCUUCAGAAAAGACUGGGGCAAUAAACAUAAUUAACUCUAAGAGGUUUAAUAAUAAAUCACCAAAUCUCAUGAGCAUAAUAAAUACAACUAGGGAAGUAUUUUAAUAUAGUCUCAAUAUAAUAAUCACAAAUUCAACUUCAGAACAGUGUGAAUUACAAAUAUAAUGUGGAUAUUUUCUUGGCAUAGAUCUCAGGCCAUGCUAUUUUUAAGGUCAUUUGUUAUUGGAAGCAGAAGGGGCAUGAUAAUAUGUAACCUUAGUCCUGCUGACAGAAUUUCAGCAAGAGUAACAAUGUCCUCCUGCAAACUCUUGAUGAUACCUUGCUAGAGAAAAAAUAUGAAGCUGAAUAAAGCACAGAAUAUGAAUAUGGCCCAUGAGAAAACUUCUUUAAGACCACCUGUAGAAUUCUGCAAUCACAUACGCAGGUUUUCUUGUUAGCAACAUGCUGGUCUCUCUAAUUCCCAAUAGCAUCUUGCUGUGAUAUUGUGAGCCUUUAGCAUUUUGAAUCUCUUGUCCUCACAUGUUCAGAACAGUGCCCGGGAUAUGCCUUUGAUAGGUGUCAACUGAUGAAUAAGGUGAGACAAACAGUUUGAUAUGAAUCCAUAUUUAUUGGAUCUCAUAAACCCAAAGCAAGCUUACUGACAAGUACAGCAGAUGGGGUCAGGGUGGGGGCAGGAGGGUUGCUUUGUUGCCCAGGCUGGAGUGCAGUGGUGUGAUCACAGCUCACUGCAGCCUCAAACUCCUGGGCUCAAGCAAUCCUCCCUAGUAAGUCUAUCGAGUUGCUGGGAUUACAGGCAUCAGCCACCAUGCCCAACCAAUCAGGUGAUUCCUCUCCUCUGCUUCUGUGUUGGGCCUAUAAAAGUCCAUUGCUCACACUGUGCAGCACUCUGAACUUUUGGUUCUCAGUGAUGCAUGAUUCCUGAGUCAUUCUUUGCUCAAAUAAACUGGUAAAUUUAAUUUGUCUAAAGUUUUUCUUUUAACACAUGUAAAGUAUUAUUACAGAAAAAAGUGUAACUAUUAAAACAGUGUUUUCAAGGACCAAAAGCACAGAAGUCAAUUAGUUUAGGCAACAACAAUAAAAUACUUUAGACAACUUUUUUUUUUUUUUUUUUUUUGAGACGGAGUUUCAUUCUGUCACCUAGGCUGGAGUGCAGUGGCGCGAUCUCGGCUCACUGCAACCUCCGCCUCCUGGGUUCAAGCGAUUCUCCUGCCUCAGCCUCUUGAGUAGCUGGGACUACAGGCGCACGCCACCACGCCCAGCUAAUUUUUGUAUUUUUAGUAGAGACGGGGUUUCACCAUGUUGGCCAGGAUGGUCUCGAUCUCCUGACCUCGUGAUCCACCUGCCUCGGCCUCCCAAAGUGCUGGGAUUACAAGCGUGAGCCAUAGCACCCUGCCGACAACUUUUAAGAAUAACCACACUGAUGAGAAUGUCCAGAUAUUUACUAUAACAAAUAACUUUUAAAUAAUGCUUACACUAGAGAUUAAGAAAGAAAUGGAGACUAAAUAGGAGAGGGAAAUGUUAGUCCUUUACACUUUAAAUACUAAGAAUAUCAAACUAAUAUCAUCUUUUCCUCACAAAGUAGCAUUUAUUAACUUUAGUACAUGUUUUCUCAAUAUUUUUCCAAAAGAAAUAAUGGUUUCAAUGACCGAUCCUCAACUAUCCCCCACCCCUUUCCAUCAACCUCCUUGAGUUCAUCAUAUCAAGAUCUUCUUGUUUCCCAACAAGUCUUCAUCAAGAUUUACUCUCCAAGCUUUAGUUCCAUCCACUCACCUACCCAACCUUAAAACAUCUAUUUAUACAUUUGUCCGUCCCUUUUCUCCCACGUAUAUGUCCAUCCUUGUAGCUAUUCCCUCGCCCACCUGUCUGUCCAUCAUCAAUCCGUCCAUGCUACAUUUACAGAAUAUUGAGAUAAAGGCAUUGCCCUAACAACUUGAUACAGGAAUAAGUAAAGAGAGAAUUAUAUCACGGUAUAAAAAAUGCCACCAAGGAGAAGCAUCCCAGAACUCGAUGGUAGUACAGUGGAAAGACCUGUACUUGGAGGAAAGAUAAUGGAACUUUCUAGGAGAGUUGAUACAUUGGCUGAAUUUCGAAGGUAAAAUAAGCAUUAGGAAGGUAAAGGAGUAUUAUGUACAAAGACAAAGAGAUAUAUGAAAGCAAUAUGAGUCUGGAGAAACUGUAAUUUGACCUGACUAGAAGGUAAGUUGAAUAAUGAGAGAUGACUGAAGAAGCAGACAAAGUGGAGAUGGCAGAUAGCCUUUCCUUCAGUUAUGGUUUCAAACCCUAUGAAGAAAGCUGUUGAGUUUCUAUCCACCUGCAUAUUUUUUAUUAUUAUUUUAGUUAGGUGUGCUUUUUUCAAAGAUAAACACUCUAUUCCUUUUGCUUCUUCCAGUUUUCAACUGAAGAUGUGGAGACCUCUCCUCACAGAUGUGUUUUGAAAAUUUAAAAGCAUUUUAAACAGCAACCUAAGUAAAUUAAUUAUUCAAGACAAGACACAGACCUCUUUAAUUGCUUCAAAGAAAGUAAAAUACCGGGUAACUUGUCAGGUAUUUGUCCAAAUCUUCUUUUCCCACAACUUCUGCUCCAAAGAUUAUGCAUUUAGUAAUAAUACAAAAAUCUAUUAACAAUAUUUAGAUUAAUACUAAAAUUUAGUAAUAAUUUAGAAAUCUCUAGUUUGAACUAUUCAUGAGGAAAUUACAAACUACUACACAUCUCUAACUGGUAGCAUUCACAUGCCAGCUGUGGUCUAUUAUUUGGUGACAUGCGGGGACUGCUUCUAAGUUGUUUGAGGGGCUUCUAUUUUCUGAAUAUAUCAAGGACAAGAUGAUGUGACCUGCAGCCCAUUGGGGGUCAAGGGGAAAGGUGGUAGAGGUGAGGGAUAAGAGAAGUAAAAUGUAAGUGCAAAGGCUUUAUUCUCUCUGCUUAUGGAUCUUUCCUCAUAUCCCCGAACGGAGUCCACCAAUUCUGCUUCCCAGUAAACAGCCUAUGGGGCACCUGCCUGUAAAUACCUGGAGCAUCAUCAGGUUGGGGGGCGGGGAAUUAACAAACACCCUAAAGCCUUUGAGGUAGAAGCAACGCAGGCCCUCUUAUAAUGUGGGCCAACCGCCCGGCCCCAGGCUCCGCGGAUCCCGCCCGGAGUGGUCUCCUGGAUCCUCUCUCCUCGGGCGGGCGUCCGGUUCCCGCGCG
rnacentral:lncRNA from 1 species